AUUGAACGCUGGCGGCAGGCCUAACACAUGCAAGUCGAGCGGAUGAAGGGAGCUUGCUCCUGGAUUCAGCGGCGGACGGGUGAGUAAUGCCUAGGAAUCUGCCUGGUAGUGGGGGAUAACGUCCGGAAACGGGCGCUAAUACCGCAUACGUCCUGAGGGAGAAAGUGGGGGAUCUUCGGACCUCACGCUCUCAGAUGAGCCUAGGUCGGAUUAGCUAGUUGGUGGGGUAAAGGCCUACCAAGGCGACGAUCCGUAACUGGUCUGAGAGGAUGAUCAGUCACACGGGAACUGAGACACGGUCAAGACGCCUAAGGGAGGCAGCAGUGGGGAAUAUUGGACAAUGGGCGAAAGCCUGAUACAGCCAUGCCGCGUGUGUGAAGAAGGUCUUCGGAUUGUAAAGCACUUUAAGUUGGGAGGAAGGGCAGUAAGUUAAUACCUUGCUGUUUUGACGGUACCAACAGAAGAAGCACCGGCUAACUUCGUG
rnacentral:rRNA from 1 species